rnacentral:rRNA from 1 species
AUCAGCUUGUUGGUGAGGUAAUGGCUCACCAAGGCGACGACGGGUAGCCGGCCUGAGAGGGUGACCGGCCACACUGGGACUGAGACACGGCCCAGACUCCUACGGGAGGCAGCAGUGGGGAAUAUUGCACAAUGGGCGCAAGCCUGAUGCAGCGACGCCGCGUGAGGGAUGACGGCCUUCGGGUUGUAAACCUCUUUCAGUAGGGAAGAAGCGAAAGUGACGGUACCUGCAGAAGAAGCGCCGGCUAACUACGUGCCAGCAGCCGCGGUAAUACGUAGGGCGCGAGCGUUAUCCGGAAUUAUUGGGCGUAAAGAGCUCGUAGGCGGUUUGUCGCGUCUGCCGUGAAAGUCCGGGGCUUAACCCCGGAUCUGCGGUGGGUACGGGCAGACUAGAGUGCAGUAGGGGAGACUGGAAUUCCUGGUGUAGCGGUGAAAUGCGCAGAUAUCAGGAGGAACACCGAUGGCGAAGGCAGGUCUCUGGGCUGUAACUGACGCUGAGGAGCGAAAGCAUGGGGAGCGAACAGGAUUAGAUACCCUGGUAGUCCAUGCCGUAAACGUUGGGCACUAGGUGUGGGGGACAUUCCACGUUUUCCGCGCCGUAGCUAACGCAUUAAGUGCCCCGCCUGGGGAGUACGGCCGCAAGGCUAAAACUCAAAGGAAUUGACGGGGGCCCGCACAAGCGGCGGAGCAUGCGGAUUAAUUCGAUGCAACGCGAAGAACCUUACCAAGGCUUGACAUGUUCCUGACCGCCGUAGAGAUACGGUUUCCCCUUUGGGGCAGGUUCACAGGUGGUGCAUGGUUGUCGUCAGCUCGUGUCGUGAGAUGUUGGGUUAAGUCCCGCAACGAGCGCAACCCUCGUUCCAUGUUGCCAGCACGUAGUGGUGGGGACUCAUGGGAGACUGCCGGGGUCAACUCGGAGGAAGGUGGGGACGACGUCAAAUCAUCAUGCCCCUUAUGUCUUGGGCUUCACGCAUGCUACAAUGGCCGGUACAAUGGGUUGCGAUACUGUGAGGUGGAGCUAAUCCCAAAAAGCCGGUCUCAGUUCGGAUUGGGGUCUGCAACUCGACCCCAUGAAGUCGGAGUCGCUAGUAAUCGCAGAUCAGCAACGCUGCGGUGAAUACGUUCCCGGGCCUUGUACACACCGCCCGU